UAAGUGCAAGUCGCAAAGUGCCGAAC
rnacentral:piRNA from 1 species